UACGAAGGGGGCUAGCGUUGCUCGGAAUCACUGGGCGUAAAGGGUGCGUAGGCGGCCCGUUAAGUCAGCGGUGAAAUCCCGGGGCUCAACCCCGGAACUGCCGUUGAUACUGGCGGGCUUGAGUUCGGUUAAGGCGGGCGGAACUGGCGGUGUAGCGGUGAAAUGCUUAGAUACCGCCAAGAACCCCGAUUGCGUAGGCAGCUCGCUGAGCCGAAACUGACGCUGAGGCACGAAAGCGUGGGGAGCGAACAGG
rnacentral:rRNA from 1 species